AUUAAAUAUAAUUACUAUCCAAAGACAGUAGGCACCAAAAGUUUAAUGGUUUUUACCGCCUGCCGAGGAAUUAUAAAAGUUUGAUAAUACAUUUUGUAUGUUAAUUUUUAUGCUCCUCUGCGCAAGCGAAGGAGCAUUUUCUUUAUAUAA
rfam:Clostridiales bacterium GWF2_36_10 gwf2_scaffold_343, whole genome shotgun sequence.